CCGUCAGAGUCGACUGCGAAAUGCUAUCGAUGCGAUGAAGUUUCCGCGCGAAAUUUCAAAAGUCAUAUCACAGCCAGCUUUGACGAGC
rnacentral:pre_miRNA from 1 species